UGGCAUUUAGACUACGUCAUCCUACUGCUUUCUGUCUCCCAUGGUUUCUCAUGAUGGGAAGGUUUUUGUUAUGAAUCUUUUAGAAAGAUCUAUAAAAUUGAUACAUUUACAACUAAACAUACCAUAAAAAGAAGAAGACAGAAAAUUGCCAGUUUCAGAAAUGAAAAGAUGGUAUAUCACCAAACAUCCUACAAAUUAAAGAAAGGAUAAUACAGGAAUAUCUUGAAAACCUUAAAGCAAUGAAUUUGACAUACAUGAUUUGGGAGAAAUAAGAAGAUUAGAAACACAGAGACAGGGACAUGACCAUGUGAACACCCAUGUGAAGAUGGAGGCAGAGACUGAAGUUAUUCUGCCACAAGGCAAGGAAUGCCAGGAGACACCAGAUUCUGGGAGAGGCAAAUAAAGAUUCUCCCCUAAAGCCAUCAGUGUGAGUGUGGCCAUGUCAACACCUUGAUUUAAGAUUGCUGAUGCCAGAACUGUGAAAGAAUAAACUUCUGUUGUUU
rnacentral:lncRNA from 1 species